rnacentral:tRNA from 1 species
GCUGUCAUGGUCAAACUGGUAGGACGUCUGGCUGACAAUCGGAAGAUCUGAAGCUCCAAUCUCGGCGAGAGCG